rnacentral:lncRNA from 1 species
CCCAGUGCGCAUGCUUGUCGGAGAUUCUCAGGCGACCUUCCCUCUUAUCUUCCUCUUGCAUUUAUCAGAAGUGCUGAACCCUUGACGUGCCUUAUCUUAUUUGCUCCUCACAACAAAUCUUAUGAGAUGCAUCACUACCAGAAGUUGUCCAGAAAGAACUGUGACCGUAUGUUUUAAUUAAAUAAUUUUUCAUCCAGUUUUUUUCUUUGCAUAUAAAGAAACAGAAUCCUGACAUCUGAUUGAAUUAUUGGCUCUCCUGAUGGUUGCACGAUGGCUGCAGCAGUUCCAGAUGUCCCAUCGAGACACAAAAAGAUCCCAGAUGGAAGAUGCCAUCUCCUCCUAUGUGCCUCUUUUUAAGAGUUACACAGGAGUGAGGAGGACCACCAAACCAAACUAAGACUCGGAGGAAAAAAAAAAAAGAAAAAGAAGAAAAUGUCUGCUAGGUGCCAUGCCACUCAAACAGCCAAUGGAAAGGCCCACGUGGCGAGAGCUAAGGCUUCCUGCCAACAGGCAAGUGAGGAAGCCCAGUCAGCUGCCUGCAGUCCUGACCCAUGAAGAGCCUGACUGAAAGUGAAUGAGCAACCCUGAGCUAGGACAACCCAGCAAGGCCCAUCCUGAAUUCCUGCCCACAAAAACUCUGAGACAGUAAAUGUUCGUUGUUUUAAACCACAAAGUUUUGAAGUAAUAGAUUAAUUAGGUAACCAAUUGGGACUGCAGUAUUCCUUCAGGGAACUUGAAUAGUCAUUCUGUAUAUGGAAAUUGUACACAUCUUAAAAUUGCUGGACUAAAGUGAGAAGAGACUGUCUUGAGUCAACUGGAUAAAGUGGAAAAAAAAUUAAUUUGGAAAUCAAUAGAAUUCUGGCCUUGGCUUUGUCACUAAGAAACACUUAUAAGUAAUUUCACUUCUCUUGAAAUUAUGAUCAUUAUCUAUAACAUAAAGGAACUGAGCUAAAUGUUAUCUGAUGCCUCUUUAGGCUCUCAAACUCCAUAGAUUUAUGACAUGCUUGAAAUUCACUUUGUUUCACCCUAAUUCAGAGCUUUGUUUCACUAGCUCUAGAAUUAGAUGCCUUGGGUUUAAAUUGCAAUUCAGUCACUUAUUUAAAUAAUUGUACUUGGAUGAGUGAUGUUGCCAUUUUAAGCCUCAGUUUCCCCAUAGAUUCAUUGAGAAGAUCAAAUAAGAUGAUGCAGAUAAAGCUCUUAGUUUGUGGGGACACUUAGUAAGUGCUUAAUAAAUACAGGCAGUUGUGUUAUCUAUGUUGUAGCAGCACAUUUUGUAAAAUAAAACAAAGUUGAAAUCACA